GAUGAACGCUGGCGGCGUGCUUAACACAUGCAAGUCGAACGAAGCACCUUGAUUUGAUUCUUCGGAUGAAGAUCUUGGUGACUGAGUGGCGGACGGGUGAGUAACGCGUGGGUAACCUGCCUCAUACAGGGGGAUAACAGUUAGAAAUGACUGCUAAUACCGCAUAAGACCACAGCACCGCAUGGUGCAGGGGCAAAAACUCCGGUGGUAUGAGAUGGACCCGCGUCUGAUUAGGUAGUUGGUGGGGUAACGGCCUACCAAGCCGACGAUCAGUAGCCGACCUGAGAGGGUGACCGGCCACAUUGGGACUGAGACACGGCCCAAACUCCUACGGGAGGCAGCAGUGGGGAAUAUUGCACAAUGGGGGAAACCCUGAUGCAGCGACGCCGCGUGAGCGAUGAAGUAUUUCGGUAUGUAAAGCUCUAUCAGCAGGGAAGAAAAUGACGGUAC
rnacentral:rRNA from 1 species